UAAUAUUGCUCAUUUCAGUGAUUGACAAGGUAUUGCUGCUAUUCUACACAUCAAAUAGCUGUGGCAAAAUCACUCCAAUUACACCAGUACUGGCGUCCCAUCCUGAGCAUCCUCUGCCUUGUUCCCAGUGCAUCCUGGGAUAGACCCUCUCAUAGUCCUGACCAGGGUUUGCUUUAUUUAUUUAAGUAGGUAAAGCUUUACAGAAGAUGGAGGAAAGUGUUAGGGCUCAUAUCAGACCUUUAAAAGCAAAAUGGCGCUGCCAUGUCAAAAAUACGUUUCCUUUGUGGCAUGCAUGUUCAUUAAAGUGAAAGUAAACGAAAGACGUGCACAAGAGAGCGUCGAACAAAAGCUGUCGGGAAAACCUGUAAAUUACGUAUUUUUCACAUUUUUUGUUCCUUUUUACUUUGUAUGUGGGAUAAUGGAUUCUUGCAAAUUAUAAUUCUUAACAUCUUUAUAACACCAUCAGAAAGACUUUUGACAUGAUACCACUUCCUGUUUUACACGAUGGCUUUGAUGGCUUCGGUCAUGAUGCUGCGGUGUGUCUUAUUUUUCCUAAACAUUUCAGUUGGGACAACAAAGACGAUCACCGCCUUCGUUAACGAAACCGUGACUUUACCCUCCGGAUCCCAAGUUCUCAAUCCUUCAAGGAUUUUAUGGUAUCAUAAUAAGACAAUGCAGACUGUUUAUAAAAAUGCAAUCGAGGAAAAUAACCCCACCAAAAAAAAUAUGUUUCGCCUGAAUAAAGAAGACGGAUGUCUUCAGCUCUUCAACCUACGUAAAGAAGAUUCUGGAGAGUACAAAGUUACAAUAACGAACAGAACGCAUCAGCACACCGAAGAAAUAAAACUCACUGUGGUCGAAAGGAUUAAAAAGCCAGAGCUGAAGGUGCUG